UUUCUUCCUUAUUACACUAUAUCUUUUUAUGCUUGUAGUUUACCAUCUUGGUCAUUUCAUAUAUGCCGUUAUUUGUAAGCAUUUAUCUUGCUUUGGAUUGAGGGUUCGGGCUAGAAUUUUAUUUGGCGGCUUCUGACCUGUAACUUCUCCUAUUAUUUUUUUACUUUGAAAUGCUUUCAAACAAUUUGACCUGUGAGCUAUAAAUUAAUCGCCUUUUUUCGUUCUGGGUCUGAUUACUAAGCCGGGAGGGAAAAUGAAGAAAGAAUCUCAGCAACUAUUAAACUCAUUUUUACUAAUGCUUCUGUUGGUACAGCCAGAGAGGAACUCAAACAUUGUCUCCCGAUCUAUUAUUUUAAGAUGGGAUUGAACUGCUAGGACAAUUUGAAUGAUUACGUUCAUCAUUCAAAUGGUAAAAUUCCAUUGCAAAAUGCAGAGCCUAAUUCUAGAAUGCUGUACUUAAUAUUUUCCAAUAAAUGUUGUAUUUCAAAUUUUAGAUUUGAUUAAAAAUAAGGAGUAACCACCACCCUCUUGUUAGAGUUUAAAUGUGAGGUGUGAGAAAGUAAUAAAAAAUUGUGGAAUAAAACUGUUGUGUGGAUAAAUGGUGCAUAAGAUCUUGUGAGGUGCUUGCUUUAGCAGUAUUAUGCUGCAAAUUUAUUGUAUUUGAUAACUUGUAUCAUUGAAUCAGCAUGUUCAAGCUAAUGCUCAUUCCGAGCGAAUGUUCACUUCUCUCAUUUAAUGUGGAAUUAGGGUUUCAAAAUAGAAUGAAAUAUCUUCAGUUUUUCUAAGUGGUAAUUUGGGCUUGGGUGCAGUUGAGUUUGAGCGAGUAGCAGGACACACAUCAAAAGUAAAAGUGCACACAUAUGGCACACAGUUUGUUAUUACUGGAUUCAACUAUUUGUUUUUGUGCAACUGGUGCUGAAAUUUGUAUAUUUUGUUAUGUAUAAAGGUACAGGUUAUUUGGGCGAGCGACCCAGUUUCACAACGGAGGGAAGGAG
rnacentral:misc_RNA from 1 species